UGUAUUCCUAAACAUUGCACCCUUAUGCUAGUUAAUUACUUAAAGUGCGGACUAAAAUAAAUUAAGACUAUUGAGUACUGGGUAUAGUUAAAAAGACUAGCGAUAGAGCUAGGAAAAGGAAGGUGGAAUACCACAGGUGCUGCUGUGGAACGAUUUAUUUGUAGGUAUUCAUUUUAUGAAAUCGGUGCUUAGUAGCGAAACAGUGUAUAAUACAAGACUGAUAUUAUAAUUAAACAGUAGAUGUGAUAGAGUGAUAAUAAUGCUGGACAAGGCUAUUGUUAUAUCGGGAAUAAAUUUCAAUUACGUCAAAAAUAAUUCAAACAAACGCCAAAAAAGAAUCGAAUCACGAACCUCGUGUUUACCUCUACGUACGGUGCCACUAGAUUUUGUUAAUAUAAAUUCACUCUUCUUCAAAAUCAGGGCUUUCACUACGCGGCGUUCAAAAUUAGAGACUGGUAAUUAAUUUCGAAUGAAGCGAAAGAAUUACCACCUUAGUUCUUUACCAUGAUACUUUACCUUGCUGAGGUUGACCGGUAAAGAAUGUCUACGGCUAAGACCGCCUGUAUACAUUUGUAUAUUAAGAGCUAAAUAAAUAAAUAAAUAAAUAAAUGCAAAAUAUACAAUAUUUCCACGAAUGAGUUGUAAGCACACAAAGUCGACAUUGCAGAUAAGUUUCUGACAGUUUAUGUUGUUAGAACACCGAACAGUGAACACUUCGAAACUCGCAACUUGUUGAUGGAUUGGAUGGUAACUUUGAAACUUGGGCCUCGGAGUGAGACGAUAGAAAUAAACUUCGUGAGGCGUUCAUUACAUUUUUUAUAAUAAAGUAGGUGGAAUAUGUGAAUUUUUGAAUCCACGUUACUUUCUAAUAAUAGGUGAGUAUAGUAGCAAGCUGUUUCUAUAUUCCAACGUUAUUAUACAAGAUUCUUGUCACCGUGACAUUAAAUUAGCAAGAGCUUCGUGCGAAUCAGCCGAUCAAUUACACGAAGAAUCAACGCGGCGCGAUACGACGCGCGCGAUAAAUUCGCAGACGCGCUGCUACGAAAUCCAUUUUUAUUAUUAGCACAUGCAACAUGAGCACUAGGGUAGUCACACUAUCGAUAGUCGAUACUGAUCGAGUUCUAAAAUGAACGAUUAAAAUCAUAAUACUUAGUACUGGAAGCUUUCUGGUUUUAUAAAUACUUCAAGCGCGUUUUUAUGUAGAUUGGUAAGUAGAAGGAUUCCUGUGUAUGAUGGUAACAAGUUACAACUUACAAUUAGCUAUUUUUUAUUUAUUCGGUUAUAUUUAGUCACCUACUUGGAGUAUUCGCAUGUAUAUAAGCUGUGGUCUCGAGGUUCCUGCAGUCAAUUUUAAGACGUGCAAUACUUUGUGCGGGUUACUCUACCAUAACUUACCCAAGACUUAAUUCCCAAUGCGAACUGAUCUGAUAUCAGUGGCAACUUGCAACAUCUAACUUUUUCUAAAUGCUUGAAGUGUAAGUAAUGCAAGUCCAUUUUUCUUCAGGCUAGUAAAAUAAUAAAUUAAUAGUGUAAAGGAAGUCGAGUACAGUACACCUCUGGUAGGUAGGUAAAUAAAAUCAUGAUCGUUUUCAAUAAUGAUGCUCUAAGUCCUUGCACUUUGAAAGAAGAGCAUUUAGACAACCAUUAAAGUUUUUGUAGAUUCAAUUUGCAGUAAAUGAUAUGUCAUAAGUUGUAAUAAAUGAAAUGGCUUCGUUAAGUUAUAUUUAGGUAUUGAGGUAAAUAAACAAACAUUUAUGUAGAUUGUUUGUCGUUUUUAGCUUCUUUUUGGAACUUAUUUUGACUCAUCAAUACGAAUGGAUUUUUAUCUAGACAAAAUUACGUAAAAAAACCUGUAAAAGACGUAUGGCACAUCAAAUCAAAAAAUCAAAAUUUAGUAUAUUUUAUGUAUUUAUUUAAUUUGUAUUUAUCUAUCGAUAGAAAUAGCUAUACGCAUCACUACCCGUAGGUUUAUUCACAAAAAUCUGUCUUUCGUUGUCCCAGCGCCGUGAUGGAUCACCGCUCGAAACCCACAUUGUGGGGUGAGCAGGAAUUAUACUUUCAUUCACUAAUAUUGAAGAUUGACAUUUUCGGUGGCAUAUUUUUUCCUCUCCAACGUGUCAACGGCUUUGUAUUAAGAUACAUUAUGUAUUACAUAGAGAAACCUUUUGUCAAAGAUCCCCGAUGAAACUAUAAAGGAUCCUCAGCAAUAUUAAAGCGGAAGUAACACCUCGGAGUCCGGAAUUCGUCGUCCGAUAUGGCGAUAGGUACAAAUCCUACCACAUCAUAGGACGGAAUACACACGGCGGGAGGUGGGUGCAUCAGUUGUGUUUCUGCCUACUACUUCGGGGAUAAAAGGCUUUCAGAGAUUACUCCUACAUAGAAACUUUGGAAUUGCCUCUACGGGAUCUACGCACUAAAGCUAGACGAUGACGAAGUAGACGAUGCGACGUGACGAAGCUAUUGUUUCU